UUUGCGUUAGGGAUUGCAGCGGCAUCCUUUUGCGGAGCGCAAGCGGAGCAAAAGAUACAGCGGAAAGCCCGACCCUUG
rnacentral:sRNA from 1 species